rnacentral:tRNA from 1 species
GCCAUCUUAACUCAGGUGAUAGAGUGCCAAAUUCGUAAUUUGGAAGCCGUGGGUUUGAAUCCCGCAGAUGGCACCA